UACGUAGGGUGCGAGCGUUGUCCGGAAUUAUUGGGCGUAAAGAGCUCGUAGGCGGCUUGUUGCGUCAGCUGUGAAAACCCGCAGCUCAACUGUGGGCUUGCAGCUGAUACGGGCAGGCUUGAGUUCGGUAGGGGAGACUGGAAUUCCUGGUGUAGCGGUGAAAUGCGCAGAGAUCAGGAGGAACACCGAUGGCGAAAGCAGGUACCUGGACCAUUACUGACGCUCAGCUGCGAAAGCUAGGGGAGCAAACAGG
rnacentral:rRNA from 1 species